CCUCGUCUAACACUACGUUUCCGUAGGUGAGGUUCACUCUUGCCGAUGUGUUCCCCGUCUAACCUACGUUCUUCCGUAGGUGGGGUUCACUUUUUUGCUUGGAUGGGAUACGCAUUCUGACUCUGUUACCAUUAAGACUUUCUCUAUCCACGUUCUUCCGUAGGUAGAGUUAAUUUGGCGUCCUACUUUGUUACUGCGUCCAGUAAUAGUAGGAUUUCAAAUAUCUUUAUAUGGCUCAGUUCAUUUUGCUGCCGUAUCCCCGUCCGAGUUGUUGACUUCCACGAUUCCUCAGGAGCAUUUCGUGUU
rnacentral:lncRNA from 1 species